CCCUGUCGCAGGCACAGGUGCGGGAGAGCAGCCUGGAGCUGCUGAAGGGCUACCUGGGGGACAUCGUCGAUGCCAUCGUGGGCUCGGCGGACCAGUGUCCCCUCCCCAUGAGGGUGGCCUUCAAGCAGCUCCGCAGGCGGGUGGAGGAGCGAUUCCCCUUGGCACAGCACGAGGUGGGGCCCACGGCAGGGCUGGGGGUCUGCGCAGCUCCAGGACCACCAGCCCAAGCUCUGAGCUGCCCCUGACCCCAUCCCUGCCCCUGUCCCCAUCCAGGAGGUCCGGUACUUCUCCAUCAGUGGGUUCCUCUUCCUUCGCUUCUUCGCUCCCGCUGUCCUCACCCCGAAGCUCUUCGGGCUCUGGGAGCAGCACGCGGAGCCCUGCACCGGCCGCACGCUCCUGCUGCUCGCCAAGGCUCUGCAGACCAUCGGGAACCUGGGGCUGCAGCUGGGGCAGGGCAAGGAGCCAUGGAUGGCCCCGCUGAACGCCGUCCUCCUGCCCAGUGUCACCCGUGUCCGGGCCUUCCUGGACGCCCUGGUGACCGUGGUGGACGAGGUGCCAGUGCCACUGGGACACUCCCAGCCCUCGGCCACCAUCAAGGAGGGUCCCCUGCACACCUGCCCAGAGGGGAGGGUGGCACUGCUGCCCCGCUUCGCCUUCAAGAAGAGGCACUUCAGGCUCAGCACCCAGGCCCUGGCCCAUGCCAAGGUGCCCCAGGGGCAGGUGCUCGGCUCCAUCCCAGUGGAGCAGAUCCGGGCAGUGGAGCAGGUGGACAAGGGCACCUUCCAGCACCCCCACGUCCUGCAGGUGCUGGCACAGGACAGCACCGGGCAGCUCCACACCACCUACCUCCAGUGCAAGGUGGGUGACCCCACCCUGCCCCAGCACCCCAAAAACCCCAGGAACCCCCCACUAUAGCACCCUGGGAGCGCCCCCCUCCCCAGCACCAGCCACGGGACAAUGGGAACGGUCCCAAAUCCAGCUGUACCCAGGCACCCUCUGUACUGGGAGCACUGAGAGUACUGAGGUCAAGGGGCUAACUGGGUGUACCGGGGAAGUUGGGGUGUCCUACCCUGGCAGUUUUGGGGUCACUGGGGUAUCCUGCAGCCCCAUCUCCCCUCACUUCCUACUGCGCAGCUUUGCCACCAAACUGUCACUCCUGCUCCCCAGCCCUGGUGCCCACCCCUUCCUCCUCCCUCCUCCUCCUCCUCCCCGGCACCGGCAGUGCCCUGGGGGGUGUCCCUGUCCCUGGUGUCCCCGCAGAGCGCCCCGGAGCUGUGGCAGUGGCUGUGGGCGCUGCGCCGGGCCACCAGCGCCAACCGCGA
rnacentral:lncRNA from 1 species